GGGAUAACUACGCGAAAGCGUAGCUAAUACCGCAUACGCCCUGAGGGGGAAAGCGGGGGAUCGCAAGACCUCGCGUGAUUGGAGCGGCCGAUGUCGGAUUAGCUAGUUGGUGGGGUAAAGGCUCACCAAGGCGACGAUCAGUAGCGGGUCUGAGAGGAUGAUCCGCCACACUGGGACUGAGACACGGCCCAGACUCCUACGGGAGGCAGCAGUGGGGAAUUUUGGACAAUGGGCGCAAGCCUGAUCCAGCCAUGCCGCGUGUCUGAAGAAGGCCUUCGGGUUGUAAAG
rnacentral:rRNA from 1 species